rnacentral:SRP_RNA from 8 species
UCUGUGUGGGGCGCCAACGCUGCACGUAGGCGUUGUGUGCCUGGGCUAGGGCCCUGGCAAUACCCGAGCUGUUUGGGCUGGAAGGGAGCAGCUGCGCUAGCACGGGCUGCAGGGCUUCCGGAGUAAGCUCGGGGUCAAGACG